ensembl:snRNA U6 U6 spliceosomal RNA
GUGCUCACUUUGGCAGCACAUAUACUAAAAUUGGAACGAUACAGAGAAGAUUAACAUGGCCCCUAUGCAAGGAUGACACGCAAAUUCAUGAAGCAUUCCAUAUUUUU